UCUCUCUCUCUCUCUCUCUCUCUCUCUCUCUCUACGUUUCUUCUUCAUCUUAUUCUUCUUGAUUCUCGCCUUCUGAGAUUUCUCAGAUUCUCGUCAAUGUCAUCCGCCGUAAAUUUCCCCGGCUCCGCCGCAGAUGCGGACAAGGUCUUCUUCUGCCACCAAUGCAAUCGCACCGUCACUAUCCCAAUUUCAUCCUCCGCAGACCCUUUUUGUCCUCUCUGCAACGAAGGGUUCCUCGAAGAGUACGAGAACCCUAACCCUAAUCCGAGCCCCGUCCUUAACCCUAGCGGGUUUCUCCCGUUCCCCGAUCCUAUCUCGUCUCUCCUUCCGAUCUUAUUCGCGCCUUCGGCGUUGCCUUCUUCCAACGUAAUCGACUUAUUCAACCCGAGCUUUUUGGGCCAUCCGAUGCAAGGGCGGUCCUCGCCGCCGGACUCCAUCGCUUUCGACCCGGCCGCGUUUCUUCAGGACCAUCUUCAGAACCUGCGAUCGAGAGGUACCCACAUCCAGUUCAUGGUCGAGAACCACCCUUCCGGUCCUGGGUUCUCGGGGACUACUUCUUUGUUGCCUGGAAAUCUCGGGGACUACUUCUUUGGUCCGGGUCUUGAGCAGUUGAUUCAGCAGCUUGCGGAGAAUGAUCCGCACCGGUACGGGACUCCUCCGGCCUCGAAAUCCGCCAUUGAUGCGCUCCCGACUGUGAAGGUAACGGAGGAUAUGUUGAAUUCGGAUAUGAACCAGUGCGCCGUUUGUAUGGAUGAGUUCGAGAAGGGUAGUGCUGCGAAGCAGAUGCCUUGCAAGCACGCAUAUCAUCAAGAUUGUUUGCUUCCAUGGCUGCAACUGCACAACUCUUGCCCUGUUUGUCGGUAUGAGUUACCGACAGACGACCCUGAUUAUGAAACCAGGACUCAUGGAGCUCAGGAAAGUGGUGACGGACAGGGAUCGGGUGGGAACCAACCAACGCCUAGGAGGUUUAGUAUAUCAUUGCCAUGGCCAUUCAGGAGACAAGAUGGAGGCUCGGGCUCUGGUUCAGGAUCUGGUGCGCCUGGAAAUGGUGGUGGUGGAGCUGACUUGGAGGAGACUAGACAAGAAGAUUUGGAUUGAGGACAUGAUUCAGGAGUUAUUUGGUACUUAAAGUGGAAGAGAAGAAUGAUCUGCUGUUAAUUGUUUUUAGGCAGGUAGGUAUUGGUAGAGUGCAUGGUAGCUACUUUGACCCGCGAUGUAAGGGGCCACGGACACAAAGCCGAUGCUUUUUUGCCACCCUUCUGCCUCUUCAUCCUAACUAUGUGUUAAUACAAUCCGCAGAUGUUUGCUUGGAGGAAAGAUAUGGUCAAAGAUCACAAAUUGCGAGAAAGCUGAAGCAAGUGCGUUUUCAUAACUCUUUUCUUUUGUCCCAUGGAAACUUCAUGUUGUAUCAGCGAGGCUCUGUACUUGUAGAAAAGGAGUUUUUUCUUCUAUUUUUCGGGUAUACAUCCGAGACUUUGAAAUUGUCAUUUUCCUUUUUUUGUAUUGAUGCAUUUGUGAAGAUUACUUUGUAUCCAUACUCUCUCUCGUGUACAUAUGAUUGUUAAUUAAUUAUA